rnacentral:rRNA from 1 species
UACAGAGGGGGCAAGCGUUGUUCGGAAUUACUGGGCGUAAAGGGCGCGUAGGCGGCCUUCUAAGUCGAACGUGAAAUCCCUGGGCUCAACCCAGGAACUGCGUCCGAUACUGGGAGGCUUGAAUCCGGGAGAGGGAUGUGGAAUUCCAGGUGUAGCGGUGAAAUGCGUAGAUAUCGGGAGGAACACCAAUGGCGAAGGCAGCUUGCUGGGACGGUACUGACGCUGAGGCGCGAAAGCGUGGGGAGCAAACAGG